UACGGAGGGGGCAAGCGUUAUUCGGAAUUAUUGGGCGUAAAGGGCGCGUAGGCGGCUAGAUGUGUCAAAGGUGAAAUCCCUCGGCUCAACUGAGGAACUGCCUUUGAAACUGUCUGGCUUGAGGCCGGGAGAGGGUAGCGGAAUUCCCAGUGUAGCGGUGAAAUGCGUAGAUAUUGGGAGGAACACCAGUGGCGAAGGCGAGUCCCUGGACAACACCUGACACUGAGGCACGAAAGCUAGGGGAGCAAACAGG
rnacentral:rRNA from 1 species